UGAUCAGUAUAGCCUCGAAAAUACCAUAUCUCAACUGAUUGGAUUAACAGACAACCAUAGUAGAUAGUAAGCUAGGUGAGCAGCUAUCAAGAGACUAUACAAAAGAAGAAAGAAACCCAGGUGAAAGCAUGAUUGAAAUUGUGUAUGUCAGCAAAUUUCAGAAAAGAACCUGUUAGCUGCAAUUGAGAAGAAGCUACAUCCAAAAUAAAUAUGUACAAAAAUUUAAAAUAAACCCAAAAAAUAAAGGGACCAUAGAAUGUUAAUUUUUAGGAGCUAUUUUGUCCAUCCGCUCUAAUUUGCUUAAGAUGAUCUGCUUUGAGCAUUCAGGGGAAAUACCGAGUUCCAGGCCAUACCUCCAAACUUGCACUGCUUCCUCCUUUACAAUGCCCUGAUUUGGUUGAGAACUUGCAGCUUCUUAGUUUUUAAGGCUUGUGGAGAGGACUCCUCUGCUUAAGCUUUUUAUGUCUUUCUUUCUAAGCUUUUUGAAUUUCUUGCUCACUUUGGAACGCAAAUUCUCCUUAAUUAAAUCUUGCAACCGACAUUGAGAAGCGUCAGAAAGAGGAUCAAUCUCUGGGUCAUCUUCUGAAUGGUAGGGAGAAGCUUCAGUUUUCUGGGUAUAGAGGGUUCGACAACUCAGUUUAGUGUUAUAGUGGUAUGGGGUCGGUUGAGUUUUGGCUUUUCUAGAUUUUAUGGGUUUUUUGGUUUAGGGUGUAUUUCUUGGGUCAAGUUCUUGG
rnacentral:lncRNA from 1 species